rnacentral:sRNA from 1 species
CGGUGAUGAUCUGCGGGCAGAUGAAAUGGAUAUGCGUGUCGAUCCCGCCCGCCGUGAUGAUCUUGCCUUCCGCCGACAGCACUUCCGUUCCUGGGCCGAUCUCCAUUCCCUUCGUGACGCCGUCCAUCAGAUCGGAGUUGCCGGCCUUCCCAAUGCCGGCGAUGCGGCCGUCGCGAAUGCCGAUGUCGGCCUUCACGAUGCCCCACCAGUCGAUGAUGAUGGCGUUGGUGAUGACCAGAUCGAGCGCGCCCUUGGCGCGUGUCGCCGCGGGCGAUUGCCCCAUGCCGUCGCGG